AUGCAAGUCGAGCGGAGGGGCAACCCUUAGCGGCGAACGGGUGAGUAACGCGUAGGUAACGUGCCUUCAGGUGGGGAACAACCGUGGGAAACCAUGGCUAAUACCGCAUAAUGUCGAAAGAUGAAAGCCUUCGGGCGCCUGGAGAGCGGCCUGCGUCCCAUUACCUAGUUGGUAGGGUAACGGCCUACCAAGGGAACGAUGGGUAGCUGGUCUAAGAGGAUGAUCAGCCACACUGGAACUGAGACACGGUCCAGACUCCUACGGGAGGCAGCAGUGGGGAAUAUUGCGCAAUGGGGGAAACCCUGACGCAGCCACGCCGCGUGAGUGAAGAAGGCCUUCGGGUCGUAAAGCUCUGUCGGGAGAGACGAAGGGGUAAAACUCUGACGGUAUCUCGCAAGAAAGCACCGGCUAACUCUGUGCCAGCAGCCGCGGUAAUACAGAGGGUGCAAGCGUUGCUCGGAUUUACUGGGCGUAAAGCGUACGCAGACGGACCGUCAAGUCGGGAGUGAAAGCCCUGGGCUCAACCCAGGAACGGCUUUCGAUACUAGCGGUCUUGAGUUUGGGAGAGGGAAGCGGAAUUCCUGGUGUAGAGGUGAAAUUCGUAGAUAUCAGGAGGAACACCGGCGGCGAAGGCGGCUUCCUGGCCCAAUACUGACGUUCAGGUACGAAAGCGUGGGUAGCAAACAGGAUUAGAUACCCUGGUAGUCCACGCUGUAAACGAUGAGUGCUGGAUGUCGGAGGUAUUCACCCCUUCGGUAUCGAAGCUAACGCGUUAAGCACUCCGCCUGGGGAGUACGGCCGCAAGGUUGAAACUCAAAGGAAUUGACGGGGGCCCGCACGAGCGGUGCAGUAUGUGGUUUAAUUCGACGCUACGCGCAGAACCUUACCCAGCCUUGACAUCCUUGGAACCGAGUGGAAACACUUGGGUGCUCUCGCAAGAGAGAGCCAGGAGACAGGUGCUGCAUGGCUGUCGUCAGCUCGUGUCGUGAGAUGUUCGGUUAAGUCCGGCAACGAGCGCAACCCCUGUCUUCAGUUGCCAUCAUUCAGUUGGGCACUCUGGAGAGACUGCCGGCGUCAAGCCGGAGGAAGGUGGGGAUGACGUCAAGUCCUCAUGGCCUUUAUGGUUGGGGCUACACACGUACUACAAUGAUGACUACAAAGGGCAGCCAACCCGCGAGGGGGAGCAAAUCCCAAAAAAAAGUCAUCUCAGUUCGGAUUGCAGUCUGCAACUCGACUGCAUGAAGUCGGAAUCGCUAGUAAUCGCGGAUCAGCAUGCCGCGGUGAAUACGUUCCCGGGCCUUGUACACACCGCCCGUCACACCACGAAAGUUGGAUGGACCCGAAGUCGCUGCUCCGACCCGCAAGGGGGGAAGGCGCCAACGGUCUGUUCGAUGAUUGGGGUGAAGUCGUAACAAGGUAGCCGUAGGGGAACCUGCGGCUG
rnacentral:rRNA from 1 species